AUGCUAUAAAUGCAACCAAGAAGGUCAUGUUAGGAGAUAUUGUCCCAAAAAUGAAGAAAAAUCUUACACAGUGAAAGGGAAAGAAAAUGGCAUUGUGCCAGGCUAUAAGAAUCUACAGAGAGUGGCAGCUGUAGAAACCGAAAAUACAUCUUCAAACCCCCCUCAAAUAUCAAAUCCAUAUGAAGAGUGUAGACGGAUGUUAAAUGCCAUUGAAAUGAAGGUGGAAGCAGUCACAAGUCCACAAGUGAAUUCUGCUUACCACACUAAUAAAUAGGGAUGUGUAACCCCUAGUUGUUCUCUGGUCUAUCUCACUGAUAUUACUCUGGGUGAAGAUGGAAGGCCAUAUAUUUAUGGAACACUAGAGGGGAAUAUAACAGAGUUUUUAGUAGACACAGGAGCUGCAGUGUCUUUAACCAACAAAAGCUUGCCUUUAAAAAUUGAAGCACCAACAAUUUCCCUUCUAAGUUUUAAUGGAGCACAUGCCCAUGCAACUCUAUCCACUGAUAAUUACAUCAAAUUUGAAGGAGGUAAAAUAAAUUGUGACUUAUGUGUCGACCUCUCAUCCCACUGUACUAUUUUGGGGAUGGAUGUUAUCAAUGGAAAAAAGUUGUAUGUGGAUUUAUUGAAUUUGGUUUUGUGGCAAGCUCCAGGUGAGAGCAAAUCAGGUGGAGUGGUUAGACCUAAUGAUUUAGGAUGGUAUAGUCAUGUCAUGGCUGUAAAGCAGGGUGAAGUGUCACCUUCUAUACAACAAGAUGAUGAUUUUGUAACCUAUCUUAAAGGAAAAUACCCCACAGUAUGGUCUAAAUCUAAACAAGAUUGUGGGAGAAUGAAUUUACAAGUUGUCAUUGAAGGACCAGACCCUCCUGCAGUAAAACAAUAUAAAAUUCCAAAAGAAUCAGAAGAAGGUGUGAGUCAAGUGAUAGAGGCAUUGGUAUCUCAAGGAGUGCUGAGAGUGGGUAAUUCCAAAUGUAAUUCCCCCAUUUGGCCAAUAAUCAAGCCAGAUGGCUCUUAUCGUUUAAUUGUGGACAUGCGAGUGGUGAAUAAGUAUACCCCACCAGCAGCCCAUAUAGUGGCCUCCUCACCAGAUAUCAUGGCACAAGUAGACGGCAAUGCUAAGUAUUUUUCUGUUCUGGAUAUAGCCAAUGGGUUUUUCUCAAUACCAGUACACCCAGAUAGUCAGUAUCGUUUUGCGUUUACCUUUAAAAAUCAUCAAUAUCUGUUCCAGGUGCUGCCACAGGGCUUCCACUCCUCGCCAGCUUAUUUUCAUAAAGCACUGGCUCAAGUAUUGGAACCCCUGGGGUAUGGGAGCAAGAUUUUGCAAUAUGUUGAUGAUCUGUUGGUUCAAACAGUAACAAGGGAAGAGCAUGAGCAGAUACUGUGUGAUAUUUGUCAAGCACUGGCAGAUAAUGGGUUAAAACUGAACACAUUCAAAGUGCAGAUCUUGAAAGAAAGCGUGGCUUUCUUAGGAGUAAAUAUAGAUCCAGCAGGUAAAACACUACGAACAGCAAGGGUUAAAGCGUUACAGCAAUUGCCAAGGCCAAUGACAGUGUCUGAUCUAAGGAAAUUUUUAGGUUUGGUAAAUUUUAGCAGAGAAUUCAUCUAUGAUAUGGCAGGAAUAGCAAAACCCCUGUACAAUAUGCUAAAAGAUAGUGCUAAUACAGAUAAGCUACUCUGGACAGAGGAAGCUGAAAAGAGUUGGAACGUGUUAAAAGAUGCUCUUACACAAGCGCCUGUGUUAGCUGCUCCCAUUGAAACAGUACCAUAUAUUGUUCAAUGUUACGCAGGUGUCUCUUCAUUAAUAGCAAUUUUGAUGCAAGGGCAACAUAGCUCCUUACGAAUACUGGGAUAUUUUUCUAAAAUCAUGUCUCCAGUGGAAAGGGGAAUGUUUUCCUGUGUAAAACAGCUCUUGGCUGUAUGUUGGGCUUUAGAAGCAACACAACACAUUGUAGGAUUUGGCAGCUAAUUUUACAAACCCCCCACAAACCUUUAAAACUGUUACACAAUUGUUCUGAUUUAGGAGUACAUAGCCAGAGGGUAGCUCAUUGGAUAUUGAAGUUACAAGAUAAACCACUCAAGGUAGAAAGCAGUAAGAGAUAUGUUAUUCCUGAAUUGAUAGAGAUAAGUGGAACACCUCAUGAUUGUCAAAAGGAAUUAGAAAUUGAAUCUAAAUCUCCUUUUGAGAAACAAGCAAUACAAGGGGCUCCUUGUUUGUAUGUGGAUGGAACAAGAUUUUAUGCUGAUGGAUCACAUCACACAGGUUAUGCCAUUUAUGAUGAUCAUACAAAAGAAAUGCAGAGAUUUAAAUUGCCAGGCCAUAUGUCUGCUCAGAGAGCUGAGUUAGAGGCUGUAAGGAAAGCUCUGGAAAUAACAGCAUAUGACCCAGUGAAUAUAAUCAGUGACAGCAGCUAUGUAGUUAAAGCUUUAACACUUCAUCUCCCAAUAUGGAGAAAACGGGGGAUGGUAGAUUCACAGGACAAAGCUUUAAAACAUGCAGGUAUUUUGGCAGAACUGUUUGACUAUGCAGAAAAAAAGGGUUUAACUUGUGCUGUUGUUAAAGUUCAAGCACAUCAAAACAGGAAAAAUGGGGAUGAAAUGGCAGAAGGAAACAGACUUGUAGAUCAGGGAGCAAAGGAAGCUGCUUUAAUAGGAGAGUUGCAAUACUCAGAAAAUGUAAUGAUUGCAACUGUGAGUAAAAGACCAAUAUCAAAUCCCCUACAAGAUCUGAAAGAAAAUCAGAGUAAAGAUGUAGCUUUCAGUAGAGAAACAAUGGAUUUAGAUACUGAAACUGGCUUGUACGGGAUUAAACAUGAGGAAACACAAACGUUUGUACCAUUUGUACCUAGUGAUAUAUUGCAGGAGUUGAUUGUAUUCAAUCAUCGUACACUGGGGCAUUUGGGUACAGAAAAACUGUUUAAGGUCCUGCAAAAUAAAUUUUAUCAUCCUAAUUUGAAACAAUGGUGUACAAACAUAGUGCAGGAGUGUCUCAUAUGUGCUCAAUUUAAUCCCAGACCUAAAGGUCAGAAACCAAAAUUAAAGAGAGUACCUUUGGCAAAAGGACCAUGGGACUCUAUACAAAUUGAUUUUAUUGGACCAUUACCUAUAGCUCCAGGAGGACUAAAGUACGGAUUGGUAAUUGUUGAUAUAUUCUCCAAAUGGGUGGAUUGUAUAGCUCUUACCAAUUGUACAGCGUUAACAACAUGUAAGGCGUUAUGGAAAUAUGUAUUUUCUGUAUGGGGUUUUCCCAGAAUCAUUGAAUCUGACAAUGGUCCACACUUCAUAGGAGAAGUACUUAAAGAGAUGUGUAAAUUGUUGGGGAUCCAACAAAGAUUUCAUGUCCCAUAUCAUCCACAGUCGGCCGGCAUAGUGGAAAGAAUGAAUAGGACACUGAAAUCUAGAUUGAAAAAAAUGCUUGAAGAUAAAGGGAGUAGUUGGGUAACACACUUACCAGGAGUUUUAAUGUCUAUUCGUGCAACUCCAAACUCCAAAACGCAAGUGUCACCUCAUGAGUUAAUGACAGGCAGAACCAUGCCAAUUACUUUCCCCAAUGAACCUUUUGUUCCAAGUACUUUCAAAUUUGCUGCAGAACAUGCUGAAUGGUUAAAAGUGUUACAAGAACAGCUGCAGUCAGUUUUGAAGUUUGCUGCUUUGAAUAUGGCCCCUUCUGGUAAACAAUGGGUUAAAGAUGUAACUCAGGGGAAUUAUGCAGAUAAGUUUAAACCAGGAUACAAAGUGAUGGUAAAAUCAUUUAGAACACCAGGUCCCUGGCAGGCAGGUUGGGAAGGACCUUAUAUUAUUCUAAAGAAAUUAGGACAAACUGUCUUACAGGUUCAAAGAGCAAAAGUUGGUAGGAAAUGUAAUAAAGCAAUUCUUGUGCAUAUUGAUCAAUGUAAACUCACUAAUGUAUAAGAAUAGUAAACUGCCAUCUGUUUUUCAUUACAGAAUCAAUAAUGUUUGUUCAUGGACAAAGACUGUUUAAUUUUAAAAAGGACAAAUUGUUUGGACUAUCAAAAGACACUAUGGACAAAAAGACUGUUCUCAUGAAUGCGAUUGGAGAGGACAUUACUUCACGGACUAAAUCAAACCAAUUGGGAUUUCUUGAUAAUGUAACCUUUAUAAAAUUGCAUAGCAUCAUACUGUUUUUAAUCAUGAUGAUGUUAGGUACAAUCAAUGCCCAAGGUACAAAUACUCCAGAUUGUGAUAUUAGAGAUACUUUUUCUAAAUGUACAGCAUUCCCCUAUGAGUGUAAAGUGAGAUAUUGUAAGACUCCUGAUGUUGAUUAUUGUGGAUGCAUUAAUGCAGACACAUCUGAGGAUGCAAUAUCCGGUGCGCUAAUAUUCCAUGAUAACCAAGAACCAUGUAUGACAUAUCUAUCAGUUGACGGACGAAUUGAUUUAAUCAUUAAUAUUACCAAGGAUCGGACAUAUAUAAUGCAAAAUAAUACGGAGAGUAGGUGUGUGGUACCUACUGGUAUAGACAACACCCUUACCCUUACUAUGUUUAAUGUGAGAAGUGUUAACAAUGAUGGGUUAAAUUGCUAAAUCUACUUAAUAGAUACACUUGUUAAUCCUUACACAAAUGCUAAAGUAAAAGUACUCGAACAAACACAAGACAGCUCAUUUACCUAUCAAAACCCAGCUAAAUGUAAGUAUAGGUUAUGGAGCUGAUUUCUAUAAACAGUUAAAAGAGUUAUUACAAGUUAUUGAUAAAGCUGCGACUGGAGUACAUAACACUUUAGUACAAAUACAUACAGUGCAAGGUAUGAUUAAAAGCAUUAAAAAUGAUUAUAUCGAAGAACCCACAUCCUGGUGGCAACGGUGGUUUGGUGGACAAAAGAAAGGAUUAGUUAUGGGUAUGACACACUUCAUAACUCAUCCUUUGGUAAUUUUGAUAAUUAUUACUAUGGUUUUAUUCUUCUUUAGUUGGUAUAUGUCUAAAAGAAUUAAUCGUUUACGGUCUCAACUGAUGGAUGUGGAAUACAGAUGUAAAUUCCUGACCACAAAAUUAAAGUUUUACAAGGAAUUGGAAUAAAUUAUGAUGCAUUAUAUUUACAUAAAAAGCAUCAAAGGGGAACUUGAAAAAUAUUUUUAUAAACUUUAAAUGUAUUCAACGUGUUGUAGGAAUGUAGAAAUAUUGUAAGUUAUUAAUUUAAGCAUAUCCAGACAUUGAGGGGCCUACCCAGAUAGAUUACUAUCAUAAUGUAAUUUAUACACAUACUGUAAUUUACACACAUAUGGUUUUAAGUCAAGAAUGAUGGAUGGAGACUUGUGGACCCUGUUGAUAAUAACCUUUGACCUAGCCUUGUAAGCCUGAAUUCCUGUGAAAUGUUCACAUUUCUAUAGGCAAUCAUUCAUUCCAUCAUGUAAUUAGAAGUCUCAAGAAGGUCUUUGUGUGUAACUUACCAAAACAUCAUAACGUAUGGCUUUAAUCAUAGAUAUCGAAUAAUACUAUGUUACCACCUAUUUUUUCUUAGAUAACCAAUUAUUGUAAAGCAGGCAAACCUUAUGUCAUUAUGUAUACGCCCUAUGUAAUUGAAUUUUAAAUGUAUAUAAUCCAUUGCAGCUAGAAUACCAAUAGUAACACCAACGACCAAUACCUUUUAACAUCAAGCUUGGAUAAGAUCUAGAAGUGAAUAUACAUUGUCUAUUGGUCCAUAUGAUUUUAAACCAGACUUUUGUUGUUACCGGAUGAUGUGUAUAUUGUAAUAAAUAUACGGUUUUAACUGCAAGACACUCUGAUUCGAUUUGUUCAGAAAACUGGAAAACAAAUAUCUCACGGAAUGCAAAUUUCCUACAGAAGGAUA